rnacentral:tRNA from 1 species
GGCAUUGUAGCUCAGUUGGUUAGAGCAUACGGUUCAUACCCGUAGGGUCGGUGGUUCGAAUCCACCCAAUGCCA